CAUAAACUAAUUUACUGUUUAUGGUGAGGACCUGGGGUUUGGAGUUACUAGAUGUUUGUGUACAUCCAGUUGUUUUGGUGCUUUCUUUAGUUUCUUUAGUUUAGUUUUAGUGAGGUGUGGAUCAUGGUGAGGUGUGGUCAUAGUUAGGUGUGGUAAUAGUCAGGUGUGGUUCAUGGUUUAUGUUUCCGGGUGGUUGGAUGGGCGGGUGUGAUCAUGGUCAGGUGUGGUUUGUUUCCAGGUCUCCAUCCGUGGGCCCCCGGAUGUCAACCUUUCCAGAAGUCCAGAAGUCCAUCUGUGUCCCCUCAGAUGAAUUCCCAGGUGUGGAUCAUGGAUCGUAGAUGUGAUCAUAGGUGGAGGUCAUAGUCAGGUCUGAUCAUAGGUGAGGUCAUAGUGAGGUGUGGUCAUAGUCACGUGUGAUUUAUGUUUACGGAUAUUUUGGCCGCUUUCCUAGUUCCGUGUGUCCAGAAGUCCACCUGUGUCCCCUCAAAUGAACUCCCUUCCUCACUUUCCCAGGUGGGCGGGUGGCUUGUUGUGUAGGUGGGUGGUUGGGUGGGUGGGUUUAUGGGGUGGGCGGGUGUGUCUGUGUGUGUGUGAUCAUGGUGUGGUGUGGUCAUAGUCAGGUGUGGUUUAUGUUUCCAGGUCUCCAGCCGUGGGCCCCCAGAUGUCAACCCUUCCACAUUUUCCACUCCCGGUUGUCUUGGUGCUUUCCCUAGUUCCGUGUGUCCAGAAGUCCACCUGUGU